UUUACCCCCGUUCGCGUUGCAGGAAGAGCGAUUUGGUCAGCCAGCCGCUAGUGUCGCUGUAGAGCAACCAACGUGAAAGCUUUGAG